rnacentral:rRNA from 1 species
GAUGAACGCUGGCGGUGUGCCUAAUACAUGCAAGUCGAGCGAACGGACGGGAAGCUUGCUUUUCUGAUGUUAGCGGCGGACGGGUGAGUAACACGUGGAUAACCUACCUAUAAGACUGGGAUAACUUCGGGAAACCGGAGCUAAUACCGGAGAAUAUUUUGAACCGCAUGGUUCAAAAGUGAAAGACGGUCUUGCUGUCACUUAUAGAUGGAUCCGCGCUGCAUUAGCUAGUUGGUAAGGUAACGGCUUACCAAGGCAACGAUGCAUAGCCGACCUGAGAGGGUGAUCGGCCACACUGGAACUGAGACACGGUCCAGACUCCUACGGGAGGCAGCAGUAGGGAAUAUUCCGCAAUGGGCGCAAGCCUGACGGAGCAACGCCGCGUGAGUGAUGAAGGUCUUCGGAUCGUAAAGCUCUGUUAUUAGGGAAGAACAUAUGUGUAAGAAACUGUGCACAUCCUGACGGUACCUAAUCAGAAAGCCACGGCUAACUACGUG